rnacentral:lncRNA from 1 species
UAGACAGAGUUCCCUAAAGACCUGAAAGGUGACCCUGGCUGUACUGCUGCCACAGCACUAAAACUUCUUGGAGACGUUUGGUAAAAACUGGACAGAUAAACUGGGAAGAAGAAUGACGCCAACACUGUGACAUCUAAAGGAAGGAGAGGAAGAGGUGAAGGGUCCCUUUGUUCCUCCUGAUAAAAGGCAUGCUUGCUGACCAAAUUUCCAGGUGCUGUGAAACUCCUGAAACAUCUGAAACUUUCCCAGAGCCCAGUACCCUGGGUACCCAGACUGUCCUGCUCCAUGCUCUCAUAUGCCAGUUGGGGCUUGGAUCUAAAAUGAG